UACGGAGGGUGCAAGCGUUAUCCGGAUUUACUGGGUUUAAAGGGUGCGUAGGUGGGUCUGUAAGUCAGUGGUGAAAUCUCCGGGCUUAACCCGGAAACUGCCAUUGAUACUAUAGAUCUUGAAUAUCCUGGAGGUGAGCGGAAUAUGUCAUGUAGCGGUGAAAUGCUUAGAUAUGACAUAGAACACCAAUUGCGAAGGCAGCUCACUACGGGAUUAUUGACACUGGAGGACGAAAGCGUGGGGAUCAAACAGG
rnacentral:rRNA from 1 species